AUACGGAAGGUCCGGGCGUUAUCCGGAUUUAUUGGGUUUAAAGGGAGCGCAGGCGGAGAUGCAAGCGUGACGUCAAAUUUCGGGGCUCAACCCCGUCUCGCGUCGCGAACUGCGUCCCUUGGUUGCGGGAAGGGGAGGCGGCACUCGGGGUGUAGCGGGGAAAUGCAUAGAUAUCACGAAGAACUCCGAUCGCGAAGGCAGCCUUCCGGCCCGUCAACGACGCUCAUGCUCGAAGGUGCGGGUAUCAAACAGGAUUAGAUACCCUGGUAGUCCGCACAGUAAACGAUGGACACCCGCGGUUUGGCCUGUAUGGCUGAGCCGCCAAGCGAAAGCGUUAAGUGUCCCACCUGGGGAGUACGCCGGCAACGGUGAAACUCAAAGGAAUUGACGGGG
rnacentral:rRNA from 1 species